rnacentral:rRNA from 1 species
GGAUUAGAUACCCGGGUAGUCCACGCCGUAAACGAUGGAUACUAGCUGUUGGGAGCAAUCUCAGUGGCUAAGCGAAAGUGAUAAGUAUCCCACCUGGGGAGUACGAACGCAAGUUUGAAACUCAAAGGAAUUGACGGGGGCCCGCACAAGCGGUGGAGCAUGUGGUUUAAUUCGAUGAUACGCGAGGAACCUUACCAAGGCUUAAAUGUAGGUUGACCGGUUUGGAAACAGAUCUUUCGCAAGACAACUUACAAGGUGCUGCAUGGUUGUCGUCAGCUCGUGCCGUGAGGUGUCAGGUUAAGUCCUAUAACGAGCGCAACCCCUGUUGUUAGUUGCCAGCGAGUCAUGUCGGGAACUCUAACAAGACUGCCAGUGCAAACUGUGAGGAAGGUGG